rnacentral:rRNA from 1 species
AAUGAACGCUGGCGGCAGGCCUAACACAUGCAAGUCGAACGAGGGGCGGAGGGGUGAGUAAUGUGGGGGAAACUGCCUGAUGGAGGGGGAUAACUAGGGGAAACGGUAGCAAAUACCGCAUAGCAUGGGAUGGGCGCAGAUGGGAUUAGCUAGUAGGUGGGGUAAAGGGUCACCUAGGCGACGAUCCCUAGCUGGUCUGAGAGGAUGACCAGCCACACUGGAACUGAGACACGGUCCAGACUCCUACGGGAGGCAGCAGUGGGGAAUAUUGCACAAUGGGCGCAAGCCUGAUACAGCCAUGCCGCGUGUAUGAAGAAGGCCUUCGGGUUGUAAAGUACUUUCAGCGGGGAGGCGUUACCCGCAGAAGAAGCACCGGCUAACUCCGUGCCAGCAGCCGCGGUAAUUC